ACGCUGCUCCUGGUGUGUACUUUCAUGUGUGCACGUAAAGGAAAUUGACCUCAGUAAACAAGGCUGUGUUCACAGCGAAAAAGCAGAGAGGGCUUGGGAGGGCUUCUUCUCCUGGGUGGUGGCUGGGAGACAGCAGCCCCAGCACCCAGAAUGUGCACGCUGGUUUCCCAUUAAUGCCUCUCACUGCCUUUCCCCGCCGUGGAACUCCUGGCUCACACCAGGACCCAACUUGUUGCGUGUGUCUCAGGCGAGCGCAGCGGGUCACCGUGCCAGCCGGCUGCCCCAGGGACCGGGGCUGUGGGGCAGCUGCUGACUGCCCGUGUACUUGUUUUGUUACAUCAGCAAGAGCGGGCUGCCAUGCUCUCUGACUUUCCGCGGGCUGGUUUUUUUUUUUUUUUUUUUUUUUUUUUUUUCUGUGCCUUCAGUGCUCUCCCUCCUCCUCCCCCAGCUCCUGCUCUCCGCCCGCAGCGCGCCCCUCCUCCCGGGCUGCCUCCCCUCCCUCUCCCCUCCUCUCGCACAGUCAGAGCCUACAAAACUUGUUAAAAGCUCUCCCAGCGUUCCAAGUUAGAAAAAACUUUUACGAGUUUAACCCUCCAAAGAAGUACUCUGAUCCAUUUUCACUGCUGAUCAGCAAGGGUAAGUUGAAAGUUUUCCUUUUUCAUUAUUUUGUGUAUCUUUUUUUUUCUUUUUCUGGAAACACUUCUUCUCUUUUCUUUUUUCUUUUUUUUUUCUUUUUUUUCCCCCCCACAGUAAGAAUUCUGUUAUUGCGCCGAGGGCUGAAAACUUGUUUAAAAACACACAUCCCUAAACAGCUUAGAUUCUCUUAAAGUGCUAAGUUCCAGCUGGGAGGAAUUCUUUGCUUUCCUUUGUCACAUUUCUAUACAUUUCUAGAAGUGCUACACUUUUACAACUUGUAACCUUGUUCAGCCGAAGGAGGAGCUGAGCCGAAGCCGAGAGCGAGCUGCAGAUUUGUUGCUGCUGCGAGCGAUCUCUCCCCUCCGCAGCUUUUGGGCUAACUCAGCUCCUUUAAAGAAAAAGCCGAGGUGCGCUUCACUCUGCUCUGCUGUACCAAAAUUGCAUCAGAGGAGACUUUGCCUUGGACGCGUCCCAUUCCUUCCCCACACGUUUUGCUUUCAUAUGGAAAUCCUGAUUGAUGCCUGAUAGUUUGAGCAGAGCAAGCUUCUUAAUUAGAUGCCUUGUUAAAUGCUGCAGCUACUGAAGUGGUGACUUUCACGUGGUCUUCCUGAUAAGUUUUUUUCCCCUUUUCUUUUAAAAUAGAUGUGAUACAAUCCAGACACGGGUUAUGGAUUUUUAACCUGGUUUGUAUAUAGUUACUCUGUUUUAGCAACCUCAGUGAGGGAUUUUAGAGAAGGAAUGUGGGAUAUCAUGAUAUGCCUUACCACGUUGGCAAUGUCUGUGAAAGUCUUGGGUAGAUAUAAAUGAAAGCUGUCUAGGAAGGACUACACAUAAUCCGCAUAUGACACAUUCCCUGUAUAAUGCUUCAAAGACAUAAUUGUCAAAAUGCAGAGGAAAAA
rnacentral:lncRNA from 1 species